UUGAGUUUUGAGUUUAUUUUCUCAAUACAUUUAGAGAGUUAUUCCAUAAUUGUUUGUGUUCUGCACUUGAAUUGAUAUCAGAGCAUAGGAAUCAUUAGGUGAAACUUUUCUGUGACAACAACAAGGAGUUAUAAGGUUUCCGUCGACAAAAGCUAUUUGAUACGCUUGAUUCCAAUCGACAAAAUUUAUUUCGAGUUCUUCUUUUCUGAUUUGAGUAAUCACCAUGUCGGGUGAGUCCUCUAAUUCAGCACCAUCAAAGGAAAUCGGAGCACCCUCCGUCCACUACUCGAUGUUGACAACUACAAACUGCAUCGUUUGGGGUAUGAGGAUGAAGGUAGUGCUAAGGAUUCAUAAUGAUUGGGAAGUAAUAGACCAGAGAAACGCCAUAAACGUUGAAAAAAUGACUUAGCUAUGGGAGUGCUAUACCAAUCAAUUCUGGAGAGCUUGAUCAUUCAAAUAGGUGAUCAAGAUACAUCCAAGAAACUUUGGGAUGCAAUCAAGGCAAGGCACGUUGGAGAAGCAUGUGUUCAAGAAGUCCGCUUGCAAACUCUAAUGUCUGAUUUUGAUAAACUCUAGAUGUUGAAGACCGAAUCGAUAGAUGAUUACACGGGAACGCUGUAAUGUCCCAAAAAUUAUGAGGUAAAAAUUUCAUUUUUAGUUCAACCAAAA